AAUAUUGCGCAAUGUGGGGAACCCUGACGCAGCGACACCGCGUGAGCGAUGAAGGCCUUCGUGUCGUAAAGCUCUGUCCUCAGGGAAGAAGAAAGUGACGGUACCUGAGAAGAAAGCCCCGGCUAACUACUUUCCAGCAGCCGCGGUAAUACGUAGGGGGCGAGCGUUGUCCGGAAUUACUGGGCGUAAAGGGUACGUAGGCGGCUAUAUAAGUCAGGUGUGAAAUACCAGUGCUUAACACUGGAAUUGCAUUUGAAACUGUGUAGCUUGAGUGCAGGAGAGGAAAGUGGAAUUCCUAGUGUAGCAGUGGAAUGCGUAGAUAUUAGGAGGAACACCAGUGGCGAAGGCGGCUUUCUGGACCAUAACUGACGCUGAGGCUCGAAAGCGUGGGGAGCAAACA
rnacentral:rRNA from 1 species